GCACAUGAAAGGAUAGCUCAGUUGGCAGAGUAUGAGACUCUUAACCUCAGGGUUGUGGGUUCAAGCUCCACAUUGGGCA
rnacentral:tRNA from 1 species